CUUUGUAUGUACACCACAUAUUU
rnacentral:snRNA from 1 species